GACGAACGCUGGCGGCGUGCUUGACACAUGCAAGUCGAACGGAAAGGCCUGCUUUCCCUUGUGGAUUGCGGGUACUCGCGUGGCGAACGGGUGAGUAACACGUGAGUGAUCUGCCCCCAACUUGGGUAUAAGCCUGGGAAACUGGGUCUAAUUCCCGAUAGGACUGCAGGGUGGUGCCUGUGGUGGAAAACGAUUUUCUAGUGGUUGGGGAUGAGCUCGCGGCCUAUCAGCUUGUUGGUGGGGGAAUGGCGUACCAAGGCGGCGACGGGUAGCCGGCCUGGGAGGGUGGACGUCCACAUUGGGACGGCGACACGGGCCAGGCUCCUACGGGAGGACGCAGUGGGGAAGAGUGCACGAUGGGCGUAGGCCUGAUGCAGGGACGCUGCGGGGGGGAUGCCGGCCUUCGGGUUGUAAACUCCUUUUGACCGCGAGGAAGCCACCGGGUUGGAAGGGUGGUGACGGUAGUGGGAGAAGAAGCACCGGCUAACUACGUG
rnacentral:rRNA from 1 species